rnacentral:rRNA from 1 species
CCUACGGGGGGCUGCAGUGAGGAAUAUUGGUCAAUGGGCGCAAGCCUGAACCAGCCAUCCCGCGUGCAGGAAGACGGCGCUAUGCGUUGUAAACUGCUUUUCCAGGGAGAGAAACUUGCGCACGUGUUGCGCAAUUGACGGUACCCUGGGAAUAAGCAUCGGCUAACUCCGUGCCAGCAGCCGCGGUAAUACGGAGGAUGCGAGCGUUAUCCGGAUUCAUUGGGUUUAAAGGGUGCGUAGGCGGACUAUUAAGUCAGUGGUGAAAUCCUGCAGCUUAACUGCAGAACUGCCAUUGAUACUGAUAGCCUUGAGUUUGGUUAAGGUAGGCGGAAUGUGUAAUGUAGCGGUGAAAUGCUUAGAUAUUACACAGAACACCAAUUGCGUAGGCAGCUUACUGAGCCGACACUGACGCUGAGGCACGAAAGCGUGGGGAUCGAACAGGAUUAGAUACCCCGGUAGUC